AACCUGAUGCAGCGAUGCCGCGUGCAGUGAUGAAGGCCUAGGGCUGUAAAGCUCCUUAAGGAGAGAUGAC
rnacentral:rRNA from 1 species